GGACAUCAGGAGGUUAGUGCAAUGGCAUAAGCCAGCUUGACUGCGAGCGUGACGGCGCGAGCAGGUGCGAAAGCAGGUCAUAGUGAUCCGGUGGUUCUGAAUGGAAGGGCCAUCGCUCAACGGAUAAAAGGUACUCCGGGGAUAACAGGCUGAUACCGCCCAAGAGUUCAUAUCGACGGCGGUGUUUGGCACCUCGAUGUCGGCUCAUCACAUCCUGGGGCUGAAGUAGGUCCCAAGGGUAUGGCUGUUCGCCAUUUAAAGUGGUACGCGAGCUGGGUUUAGAACGUCGUGAGACAGUUCGGUCCCUAUCUGCCGUGGGCGCUGGAGAACUGAGGGGGGCUGCUCCUAGUACGAGAGGACCGGAGUGGACGCAUCACUGGUGUUCGGGUUGUCAUGCCAAUGGCACUGCCCGGUAGCUAAAUGCGGAAGAGAUAAGUGCUGAAAGCAUCUAAGCACGAAACUUGCCCCG
rnacentral:rRNA from 1 species